rnacentral:rRNA from 1 species
UACGUAGGUGGCAAGCGUUGUCCGGAAUUACUGGGUGUAAAGGGAGCGCAGGCGGGAAGCCAAGUCAGCUGUGAAAACUACGGGCUUAACUUGUAGACUGCAGUUGAAACUGGUUUUCUUGAGUGAAGUAGAGGUUGGCGGAAUUCCGAGUGUAGCGGUGAAAUGCGUAGAUAUUCGGAGGAACACCGGUGGCGAAGGCGGCCAACUGGGCUUUAACUGACGCUGAGGCUCGAAAGUGUGGGGAGUAAACAGG